AUUGAACGCUGGCGGCAGGCCUAACACAUGCAAGUCGAGCGGAUGAAGGGAGCUUGCUCCUGGAUUCAGCGGCGGACGGGUGAGUAAUGCCUAGGAAUCUGCCUGGUAGUGGUGGAUAACUUCCGGAAACGGGCGCUAAUACCGCAUACGUCCUGAGGGAGAAAGUGGGGGAUCUUCGGACCUCACGCUCUCAGAUGAGCCUAGGUCGGAUUAGCUAGUUGGUGGGGUAAAGGCCUACCAAGGCGACGAUCCGUAACUGGUCUGAGAGGAUGAUCAGUCACACUGGAACUGAGACACGGUCAAGAAUCCUACGGGAGGCAGCAGUGGGGAAUAUUGGACAAUGGGCGAAAGCCUGAUCCAGCCAUGCCGCGUGUGUGAAGAAGGUCUUCGGAUUGUAAAGCACUUUAAGUUGGGAGGAAGGGCAGUAAGUUAAUACCUUGCUGGUUUGACGUUACCAACAGAAUAAGCACCGGCUAACUUCGUG
rnacentral:rRNA from 1 species